AUUCCAGCUCCAAUAGCGUAUAUUAAAGUUGUUGCGGUUAAAAAGCUCGUAGUUGGAUUUCUGUUGAGGACGGCCGGUCCGCACUAUGUGCGUGUAUCUGGUUCGGCCUUGGCAUCCUCUUGAGGAACGUAUCUGCGCUUGAUUGCGUGGAGCGGUAUUCAAGACUUUUACUUUGAGGAAAUUAGAGUGUUCACGGCAGGCAAGCGCCUUGAAUACGUUAGCAUGGAAUGAUAAUAUAGGAUCUUGGUUCUAUUUUGUUGGUUUCUAGAGCUAAGGUAAUGAUUAAUAGGGAUAAUUGGGGGCAUUUGUAUUAACGCGUCAGAGGUGGAAUUCUUGGAUUGCGUUACGACAAACUACUGCGAAAGCAUUUGCCAAGGAUGUUUUCAUUA
rnacentral:rRNA from 1 species